AAAGCGUAAAAGGGGGAAGGAAGCAAGCAAGUGAAGUGUGUCGUUGUCGUCGUCAAAGCUAGAUUUUGAUUUCAGGGCGCUGCGUUGUCCACGUUUGUAUUGCAUGUUCUGUUUAAGGGUUAUCUGUGCUUUAACGAUCCCUAAGCGCUCUCUGCUGAUCAGUGGUGCGAACAGGGGGUUUACUUCCCCCUAAAUGGAAGCGGUGGCUUUUUAACGACACUGCUUCAAUUUAGGGCAAAGUAAACCCUAAAUUUACUUUCCCCCAAAGGUAAGCGUGUUUUCUCUUGUAGGUUGGCGGAUCUCCUCCGGUGGGCUUUAAACUAGGCUCGUUGGGGAAAGGGGAAGACGUGGGCGGAGGAAGCCUCAGACAAGCAAGCCAAGCAUCGCCUGUAGGAGCAACCCAGCCUAAACGGAUGACCAGAGAAGCAGGUAAUCAGGACCUCCAUCUAACCCAGGAGGUACACAGCCCCGCCAGGGGAGACGCCUUGUUGGAUUUGGUCCUGGCCACGGGCGACGACCUGGUACGGGGUCUGUGGGUGCUCAACCACCUGGGCCAUAGCAAUCAUCGUCUGCUGGAAUUCACCAUCCAGCGCAAGGUAGCGAAAGCCUCCAGCAAGGCAGCAGCCCUCGACUUCAGGAGGGCGGACUUUAAUGAGGUCCUGACAAUCUCCACCCCAGAGUGCUGAAGGAACUACCAAGGGUCAUUGCAGGACCUCUGGCGCAGCUCUACGAGCACUCGUGGUGCUCAGGCGAUGUGCCGGAGGACUGGAAAAGGGCCAGUGUGGUCCCCAUCUUCAAAAAAGGAAGGAAGGAGGACCCAGAAAACUACAGGCCUGUGAGUCUUACCUCAGUCCUGGGGAAGCUUUUCGAAAGAAUUAUCCUGGCACAUGUCCAGGAAGGGCCAGCAGGGGAGGUUAUGCUCAGGGGCAACCAGCAUGGGUUCAUUAGGGGCAGGUCUUGUCAAACCAACCUGGUGGCCUUCUAUGACCAGGUCACCAAGGCCUUGGAUGCAGGUGUCGCAGUGGAUAUAGUCUUUCUGGACUUCAGGAAGGCCUUCGACACGGUCUCUCACCCCAUUCUCAGUAAGAAACUAGGAGACAGUGGUGUUGAUGCCUACACAGUCAGAUGGGUCACUAACUGGCUGGAGGGCCGCAGCCAGAGAGUGGUGGUGGACGGGUCUUAUUCGACCUGGAGGGAUGUGGGCAGUGGGGUUCCCCAGGGCUCGGUUCUCGGACCCACACUGUUCAACAUCUUCAUCAGUGACUUGGACGAGGGGGUAGAAAGCACCCUGUUCAAGUUUGCAGAUGACACUAAGAUGUGGGGGGAAGUGGGUAUGCUAGUAGGAAGGAACGUGGGGAAUGUAGGGGAAGCGUGGCAAGCGGAUCUCGACAGGUUACAGGGGUGGGCCGAAGAGAACAGGAUGGAGUUCAACACUGACAAGUGCAGGGUAAUGCACCUGGGGAGGAGGAACCAGCAGCAUACCUGCAGGCUGGGGAACUCCCUUCUCACCAGUGUCGAGACAGAAAAGGAUCUUGGAGUCAUCAUUGAUGCCACAAUGAACAUGGGCCGACAAAGUGGGGACACGGUCAGGAAGGCCGACCGUACCUUGUGCAUCCACAGAUGCAUCUCGAGCAGGUCCAAGGAGGCGAUCCUCCCCCUCUAUGCAGCACUUGUCUGGCUGCAGUUGGAGUACUGCGUCCAGGUCUGGGCGCCGCACUUCAGAAGGGAUGUGGACAACAUGGAGAGGGUCCAAAGGAGGGCCACCCGUAUGAUCAGGGGGCAGCAGGGCAGACCAUACGAGGAGAGGCCGAGGGACCUGAACCUGUUCAGCCUCCAAAAGAGAAGGCUGAAGGGGGAUCUAGUGGCAGUCUACAAACUAGUCAGGGGGGACCGGCAGGCACUGGGGGAGUCUCUGUUCCCCUGAGCACUGCCAGGAGUGACAGGAAACAACAGACAGAAGCUAGUGGAGGGUAGUUUCAGGCUAGACAUUAGGAAGCGCUAUGUCACUGUCAGGGCAGCUAGGACCUGGAACCAACUUCCAAAAGAAGAGGUGCUGGCUCCUACCCUGGGGAUCUUUAAAACGAGGCUGGACGAACAUCUGGCCGGGGUCAUUUGACCCCAGUACUCUUUCCUGCCACAGCAAGGGGGUCGGACUAGAUGAUCUCCUCAGGUCCCUUCCGACCCUACAUACUAUGAAACUAUGAAACCCCCGUGUCGUGUACGCUCGUGUCUUACCUGCCUCUCCAGCAGUGGGGAGGGCAGGGGAGGGUGAGCUACUGGUGGGCAAGCUGGUCUCUGGGCUGUGGAGGGGACACAUGCACCCCUCCUGCUGCUUUGCUCUGCAGCAGCAGUGUCCCGCCAGGUGGCACCCGCCUGCAGGCACCCAGCUGGGGCGGUCCCAGGGGGCACCGCAGCCACAGAGGGAAGGACCAGGUCCCUGCGCAGCUCUUGCAGGCAGGCAGGCAGGCUCUGGGGGGGGGAGGAGAAAAAAAGAGCAGGCUCGCUGCUUUUUAUUUUUCUUUGGUGGUGCCUGCCUUCCCGGGCUGCUGCCAAGCUGCCUGCACAGCCCCUGAGCCGCACGGAGCCUGGCGCUUGGCUCCGCGGCUGUAGGGCAGCCAACUAAAAAUCCUCGGAGGCGUUUGAGUUUGCUGCACCCCAAUGUCACGGAAGGCGUGUGACGCUGCUGCAUGUGCUACGGCGGCUGGAAUUCAUGCGCGAUAUGCUGCCGCCACGUGCAAAUGCCCACAGCAUCAAAGCAGCGCAAAAGCAUUUAACCCGCUUUAAAGUGUCGUCCGCAUGUGCCCCUCAUUUCGUCUGCACGCGCCCCUAGGCUGUAUGGUGAAGGGGCUGCUAUGGGUAGGGGGUGAGCCCGGCUGGGUGGGGAGAGCGAGGCAGACGGUGAGCUCACAGAGGUGCAUCAGUAGGAUCCCGGGCAUUGGGCCAGAGUCAGUGACCUCAUAGAGGGCUGACAUCAGCCUGCUGGGCCUGGUCCAGAGCCCCAGGCCAGCGGCUCAGACCUGAACACACCUUCAUGGUAGCAGGUCUCUCUGGCUGAGGCUUAUACAGGUGAGGGGGAAUCUGAUUCCUAUUCUUGGUCCCAGAGCCACCCGUCUUAUCUGUUCACCUCUGCCACCCCCAGAAGUGCUCAGGUUUGGGCCAUGUGGUGCCCUGGGCCCCUCUCCCUGCCCAGUCCCCAGCCCUUCCACGUGGUUAAGGAGUUGAGGGCUGUGGCCCUUCUCCGUCGCGGGCUGUAAUUCAGAGGGCCUUUGCACGCAACAACACGGUCUAACGGCCAGUUGUGAGCUCGGCCAAAUCUCAGCCAGGUCAGGCCCCCGGGAACGUUUGGGCUCGGGACAAAAUACACAGUAGUACCCUUUUGAUGGGCGGGCAGCUUGGAUCCCCCCCCAUAUGCCCCUGCAGCUCUGUCGGGCUCUCCAGCUGUCUGUCACUGAAAGCCAAGGGACUGCGCCAAGUCUCAGCCGGUGGGGAUCGAGCACAGAUCGUGGCACACCCAACCAGCACUCCCCCCACCGCUCUGCUGACUUCCACGGGGGCCUUUCCUCCCUCCUUUAGUUCUCCCUUCCCUUCUGCUCUUGCCAUUUCCCUUGUCCUACGCCUGUUUGUGCCGAGCAGCUGAGCUGUGCCCAAAGGGAUCUGUGGGGGAGGCAGCAAAGGACUGGGAUUCUCCUCCAGUUCCUACCAGGGAGGGCUCUGGUGCGUGGCGGAGACUCUGGGUCAGGAAGGAGAAGCGGGGGCCGGAGGAGGAGGGCUUUGAGGGAGUCAGGCAUGGGGCUAGGCCCUCUGUGUCUCUGUGCCCGACAAAGGCGAUGCAAUUGCGAAGUGAAGGUGGGGGGACUUCUGGGGGUGUCUUUUAUUGGACCGGGUGUCAAAUUUGGGAGCAACGUUAGACAAGGGCACAGAAGAAGGGGAUCUGGUGCCCAGAAACUUCUCUAAUAAAGCAAAAAGACGGUGACUGGGUGAAAAAAAGAUGGUGACUGGGUGAAAGAUGUGGCAGACAAUGAUAUAAAUGGCAGCGGGGAAUUCUUAACCAACUAUAUGGUUGGUCCAAGAAAAGACGUCCCUCAAAUCACCUAGAGCUUUGCAUGUCGCCCAGGCGGCCAUACUUUGACGCUGCUGGGAGGAAGGAUAUGGCUUGUCUUCCAAUGAGACCGACAUAGCCCAUCAUGGGGCCGGGCAUUUGAGGCCGGAGGUUGCUUAGCGCAGGGUGAUUGUGAGCCAAUGCCAUUCCGUGGCGCCGGAGAGAGGCGAGAUUCGACCCGUACUUCUCUGGCCAUGGCAUUUCAUCACGCGAUCGGUGUUUCUAAUCAUCUCAUCCCCUCAGGGCCUCCGAGUCCAGCUCCAGCUCCCUGCUGCAGCGGGCGGGGCUCGUCCGAAUCGUCGAAGCUCUCCGAAUCUUUUCCGGAUCAAUUCGGAGAGCUUCGACUCGCUUCGGACCUUUGGAUUGGUCCCCACGAUUCGAUUCGAAGUCGGAGAUUUGGCCGCCAAAUCGGGCCGAGUCUCCACCUCUCUGUCCACGAGUCUAGGGAGGGAGGGGAAGAGAGGAGUGGGGCACGCAUGCUUUCUGAGUCAGGCUCACGGAAAUGUGCUGCCAGCAGAAGAGUGGAGAGACUCCUGGAUCGUCAGGUCUAUCCCAGGCCCUGGACAGGGUCACCACUCGAGUGACCCCAGGGCCCGGUGCCGACUUUCUCUCCCCAGCGAGGCUGAUGUCUGCUUUUGGGCCCCCUCCAAAGGGGCCUUGUCCCGCUUCCAUUUUUCCGGGUUUGUGCCCCUCAUCCAAGCGCUCGGUUGGAUAUCUAACCUCCUGCUGCAAGGCCUUGCUAUAAAAGGUGUGGAGAAGAUGACUUUGAACGUCUCCUAGAAAAGAAAGAUGUGGAGCGUGGUCCCCUUCCCAGCUCGUAGGGGGCAGGUGCGUGCUUCCCCUCUCAUUGUGCCCUCAAAACAACAGGACGUGGCCUGCAUUGAUUCAUCAGCGGUGCGCGCUGCUGAAACAGCAUGCGAACCUCCGAACUAUAGCUCACCAGUGGUAUUGGCAACUUCUUGGGAUCGGUUCAAAAGUGCUACAAUCGCUGUAGCAAAAAGAAACCCAGGAGAUCUGGCCAGGGUUUCCGUGGAGGACGACAAAAAGCUUGGAGGAAAAACAUCCAAUGGAUGGCCCAAGAAAACAGCUGUGCAAAAAGAAACACCUGUUUCCUAAAGCAACGGAGCUGCAGAACAACCUGACCGAAGAAAUGCCUCACGAAAUGACAGAUCUUGUGACGUGGUCUGUGCCCGAGGUCCCAGACACGGGCCGUCUGGCGAUAAGACAAUACGCCGAGAGCGAGAUGGCAAAGCGAGAUGGCAGAAACGAGGAGGGCAGUGACGCCGAGUUGAGAACGGCCGGCGUAUUGCCAGGGCAUGGGAAGCGACGGAGUAGCGGUCAGCCAAGCCCGCUGCGUUCCCAACGGUCCCCCGGCCUGUCUCCAGCAAGAAGCCGGCCGCUGCCUCCAGGCGGAGAGCUCAGGGCAGCCAACAUUGCAGAGGCCGAACCAGCGGGGGCCCCUCCUCAUCCGGCUGGCAAUAUUUCUGGUUUGCGCGGGGAGGGCACGCGUGUGGGAGCACUGCGUGAGCACCCCAGGCAGGAGUUUCCUCGUAGACAGACGUACAUUCCGUACAAAUCUGCCGGAAAAGGUGGCGCGGGUCCACACCGUCUUGCUAGAGAAGACGUUUCUCCUUGCUUGGAGCAGGAUCGCCCAACUGGGGGCACGCAGAGAAACUUCUUUUCGCAGAUCGGUGUCUGGGGAAGAACGCUUCGUGCCGAGGAACACGUGCAAAGGGACGGGCAACUGCCCGGGCCGCUGCAAGUCCCAGGGCUUGUGCAGCCCCCAUCAGGGGGCAUUGGGAAGCCGAGUCCCUGCAGAGGAGCUCCGGAGCUCGAGCCUUCCGCAUCCCGCCCGGACACGCUAAGUGAGCCAAGGGCGGUCUGCUCUGGAGGAGCCGUCCCCUGGAUGGGCAGGCAGCUCGCGAGGAAGCUCUGCUUUUCGUCACGCCAAAAGGUAUUUCCCAACGAGGAAGCACCAGGCAGCGAGCCCCUGCCCACAUAUGCGCUGGCGCCUCGGCCCUCGCAGUCCUUGACCAGGAUUUACGCUGAGGCUUUUUCGGAAGCAUCGGGUGCCCGGCUGACGAGUGAACCGGUCCCCGCGCGCAAGCUGCUUGCUCGGGGCAACGCAGUCCCUGGAAGCGAUCCGUCACGGAUCGGUGCAGAUGUGGUCAAGUCGGUGCUAACUCAGCUGUCCGCGUGUCUGGCCACAGAUCCGCAGCCUUCUGAAGAUCAGGGUCUCCCCCCUGACGUAGCCGUGCUGGCGGCCCAGAUAAUUCACUCCAGUUUAUCCGAACUUCUGCACGACGGGGCUUCCAAAGUCACGGUUUACCCGGACCCGAGCGGCAAAGAGAGCGCGCCGGCAGAGGGCUCGGAUGUUUGGCUCUGGGGUGAAAUGGCCAACGACAGGCGGGAAGGCGCUGUGGCCAAAGCGCCCUCGUCGGCUCUGUCGACGCCCCGAGAGCCUGGGGAGUUUGGGGAGAGGCAGUUGGAAGACGCUAGCAAAAGCACUGCCCGACGCCAAAGCCCCCCACCGCCAACUCUGGAGGUAGGCCCUGGAUGUUUGGAAGACGCUAUCGGCAGGCUUUUAUCUCGCGCUCUGCCGGCCACCGCCAGCACGUCUGCCUCCACAGAAAAGAAAGCCGCGCCUGCAGACGUUGACUUGACUCACGUGAAGGUAAUCGGUCGAGUGCUGGCCAGGAUCUGUAGAGGGGAGACCUCGUCCUGCCAGUGUGUUGUGCCUCCGCCCGGCAGGGAGGAGAGUGCGAGUCAAACGAUUGCCGAUGCGGUCUACGGCAGGCUUUUGAUGCGGUUCCUGUCUAAACUGGACAUGCGGCAGCGUGUAAGAAGCGGGAGCACGGUCCUCGGUGAAGCUCUUUGGGACUCGGUUGUCCGAGAGAUUUCUGGGAAGCCGCUGCAGAACUCUCUUGGUGGAGAACUAGUGCGCCGCCUUGUCGAGACCGCGCCAAGAGCCGUCAUCGAGCCUUUGGGUGAUUCCAGCCGUUGCUCGCCGGAUCUUCAUGCAACGGUUGCUCUCAUCGCAGAAAAACUAGCAGCGAGCCUGUUGUCAGCUUUUCCCUGCCUCGUUCCCGUUGCGGCUUUGGACGCAGAGAAGGCUCUGUUAGCGAACGAGGAAGCCAGAAAAAUACGGCAUGCUUUGCGAGCACUCCUGUCGAGCCAUCGGAGGAAUGGGGACGAACAGAUCGGCGGACGGGCGUUUGUACGUGCCGAAGAUGGCCAAGCUACAGGAGAUCUGUCGCCUUCCGCUCGCGCGAGCCCUGCGGACCGUGCCGAUUCAGACCUUUGCAGUUGCAGAGGCCUAACAGGUCGGGAAGCAGUUUUCGCUCCUGGGAUCACAGCUUCAGGAGCCCAGCACGUUGCCAGCCCUGGAGCAUGAGCCGGUUCAGAGGAGGAGACAUUGCCCGCCCCGUCUUGCACGGCGGAAGGCGUUGGGAUUGCGGAAAACCUCCCUGCAGAUCUUGACACGACGGAGGAGAUUCCAAAACCGACUUUUGGCCCGGGUGGUCUGGCGGCCCCCGGGACAUUUGCGGCAGGAAUUUUAAGUAGCUUCCUGCCAAAAGCGUCACGUUGGACGAAGGGCAGAAGCCCGAAGCUCGACGGAGGUUUAGCACGAGCCGAAGCGACUGUGCUUGGCAAGGCGCUCAGACAGGCCGUAGAACGGGGCCCGUCCGUCUGUCGACUCGGCCGUGGGGCCACUGCCGGGGAGCCGCACGAUGGACAUCCCGAAGCCGUCGAUCGACCGGUUCUUUCCGUGUCCGGGAGUGUUUUACGAGAAGCGGGACCCGAAGGAGGUCUCUGCAACGACGUGAGCGGUGGCAGCGCCCUUUUCCCUCAACAAGCGGCGACCGCGAUCGUUGAGGAACUGUCCGACAGCCCCUGUCUGCAGGCCGUCAGUGACUGUCCGCCGGCACCAAGCCGACAUCCGAUGAGCAUGGGCAGACUCGCCAGCGAGGGUCUUUCCCGAGCAUCUGUUGGCGCAGAGCCUUGGACGGGCAGUUCUGCAGAGGGGAUCCCUGCCAAGACGGGGGAGCUGCCGGUGAAAAGGAUCCCUCGUGUGACCAUCAGGCACGUGCCCGUUGCUUCAGAGUCGGAGACUGAUUAUUUAUGGGUCAUUUACGUCAGAGCAGAACCUCUCGAGGAGCUGCAAGAAGCUGUCGUCGCUCCGACCGGGGACGACCCAAGAACGCCGAGAGCAUUGCUGGCCGCAACGUGUCCCAACGACGGCAGCACGAGAUCCGAGGCCCGGGAAAAAGCAGACCGUUAUUUCUCUGCGGUUAGCUUGGGACAGCCCACGGGGGUUGGACUCGAUGAUCUGUCAAGGUCCCUUCCGACCCUACCAACUAUGAAACUGUGAAACCCUGCUCGGGGUGGCGGGUGACCGGUGACCUUGCAUCAGCUUGGGAAGGCAGCGUAAGCGGGAGCAGGCAUGACAUACCUGCUGGGGCACGAGCAGCCUGACCGGGCCCGCUGGCAUAAAAGCUCGCAGGACGCCGCUUUGCAGCAACGCGAAAACAACCGCUCGAGACAGCCGUCAUGCAAGUGGGAAGGAGUCCCAGGUGAGCUGACCGUGGAUGUCUUUUUGUCGCCAGGGAUUUCUGCUGAGCUGUGCCGGGCCUGGGACGCAGAACUCUUCCUACAUGUCUGCGGCAAAUAUCUUGUCAAACCUGGGGCAACACCACCCCCGGAAGGUGGCCCACCAAAGGUCUCUCGGCCUCCCCAGCCGAGUCCUUGCCUUUGGCGGGCUCUUCCCUCUUUCCUUCUGUUGUCGUAUCUGCCCCGUAAUCUCUGCGCAGAGUUGGCCUCUAGCCACGUGACGCAGUCUCAUCCCCAGCCCGGUCACUCGACCCUUUAAGAUCGCUGGCUCCGGUCGGCCGCCGCUGAAGUCGGGGCGUGUAGGGAGUCGGGGCCGAGCGUAGGCCUUAAAAGCUAGCUGUCGCCUGUGACGCAUGCAGCCUUUGGAGGCCCGCAUCUUGCCAACCUGAGCAUGCACGUAACGUCGUGGACUUUGCCUACGGUGACACGUUACCCCAGGCUGCCUCGUUGAAGAACGGUACUGGCAUGCUGGGCUUCCUCGGGAGGUAGAUUGCCGAGACGAAAGCAUCGUUGUUACCGUCUGCGGCAUUAGUGAGCCCCUUCCCGGAUGCUGUAUCCAGUUCUCAGGGAAGGCUGAUCAAGUGGAAAAGGUUCCUAAAAGAAAUAUGAGAUUGGACUUGGGUAUAGGAGCCCUUCCUCGGCAGGAGAGACUAUGGCGGCUCCACCUGUUCACCUUCAGAAGAGAGAAGGUUUAGCAGCCAUUUGAUCGUGGGCUAACAGCAACCCUGUGGAGGGCAAGUUUCCAGUGGGUCCAGGCGCUCGAAUCUGCCUGCCAGGGGCAGAAGCGACCACAGCGGCCGGAGGAUGUGCCUGGCCGGAUUCGUUCUCGGAAUUGGGUGCCCACUAUUUUCCAGUUACACGAUGGGUUCUUUGCUAGAGGAACGACUCGCCCAGGGGUCUGAUGAAUUGUCCCUCGCCCAAAGUCCUGAAGCGAAGUCUGGGUCUUGGUAAGAGAUGGGCAGGAGCAUUGCCCGACGUGAGUCCGGUGGGAAGCAGACUAGGUGCACGCUCACGGGGAUCUUGUCCAUUUGCGGCCCGGCUGCCUCCUUUCUCCUUUCUGUCCUUUGGAUCGCCUUUCUCUGUACUUUCUCUAGCUCUCGCGUUGUCUUUCAUGGGUCAGGCGCCACGUCCACGCAUUGCGGAUGUCGAGCCAUCCUUCCUGACCCAGGCUUGGCAAGCCCUGCCACCCCGGAUGCGCAUGGAGAGGCGCAGACAGGAGCUAGCAGUACUCUUUUGUUUGAGCCGCUGUCUGAAGGAUCCAGAAAGAAAGAUCUGCACGGACCAGAGGACAUGGGGGUCAACACAGCAGCUGGCGCCAGCGUGCCGCAAAAACAGUCGUCUUUGUUGAAGAAGAUCCCGAACAUGCUAUCCAGAGCGCACUCUCUCCUGUCCGCUUGCUUGUCGUGCCGCCGGAGGUCUCGGCAAGUCGCCCCGGAGUGUACCCCUACGUGUUAAGGUGUUUGAGGAUAAAUAAGGGAAAAAAUAAAUAGUUAGGACAAGAUGCGGUCUGGUGGAAGCUGCCAGUGGUACUC